UACGGGGGGGGUAAGCGUUGUUCGGAAUUACUGGGCGUAAAGGGCUCGUAGGCGGCCAACUAAGUCGGACGUGAAAUCCCUCAGCUUAACUGGGGAACUGCGUCCGAUACUGGAUGGCUUGGAUUUGGGAGAGGGAUGCGGAAUUCCAGGUGUAGCGGUGAAAUGCGUAGAUAUCUGGAGGAACACCGGUGGCGAAGGCGGGUCUCUGGGCCGAUAUUUGACGCUGAGGAGCGAAAAGCGUGGGGGAGCGAACAGG
rnacentral:rRNA from 1 species